AUUACUUUGGCAGAAUAGUGCAUUAGAUUUAGGAUUUAAUUAUAUAGUAAUUUACUAUAAGUAAUA
rnacentral:tRNA from 1 species